ACGGGGGGAGCAAGCGUUGUCCGGAAUCACCGGGCGUAAAGGGCGCGUAGGUGGCGACGCAAGUCAACGGUGAAAGCUCGACGCUCAACGUCGAGUCGGCCGUCGAUACUGCAUUGCUCGAGCACUGUAGAGGCCAAUGGAAUUCCGGGUGUAGCGGUGGAAUGCGUAGAGAUCCGGAAGAACACCGGUGGCGAAGGCGGUUGGCUGGGCAGUUGCUGACACUGAGGCGCGACAGCGUGGGGAGCAAACAGGA
rnacentral:rRNA from 1 species